UACGAAGGGGGCUAGCGUUGCUCGGAAUCACUGGGCGUAAAGCGCACGUAGGCGGCUUACUAAGUCAGGGGUGAAAUCCUGGAGCUCAACUCCAGAACUGCCUUUGAUACUGGUGAGCUUGAGUCCGGAAGAGGUGAGUGGAACUGCGAGUGUAGAGGUGAAAUUCGUAGAUCUUCGCAAGAACACCAGUGGCGAAGGCGGCUCACUGGUCCGGUACUGGCGCUGAGGUGCGAAAGCGUGGGGAGCAAACAGG
rnacentral:rRNA from 1 species